rnacentral:rRNA from 1 species
CGAAUGGAUUAAGAGCUUGCUCUUAUGAAGUUAGCGGCGGACGGGUGAGUAACACGUGGGUAACCUACCCAUAAGACUGGGAUAACUCCGGGAAACCGGGGCUAAUACCGGAUAAUAUUUUGAACUGCAUAGUUCGAAAUUGAAAGGCGGCUUCGGCUGUCACUUAUGGAUGGACCCGCGUCGCAUUAGCUAGUUGGUGAGGUAACGGCUCACCAAGGCGACGAUGCGUAGCCGACCUGAGAGGGUGAUCGGCCACACUGGGACUGAGACACGGCCCAGACUCCUACGGGAGGCAGCAGUAGGGAAUCUUCCGCAAUGGACGAAAGUCUGACGGAGCAACGCCGCGUGAGUGAUGAAGGCUUUCGGGUCGUAAAACUCUGUUGUUAGGGAAGAACAAGUGCUAGUUGAAUAAGCUGGCACCUUGACGGUACCUAACCAGAAAGCCACGGCUAACUACGUGCCAGCAGCCGCGGUAAUACGUAGGUGGCAAGCGUUAUCCGGAAUUAUUGGGCGUAAAGCGCGCGCAGGUGGUUUCUUAAGUCUGAUGUGAAAGCCCACGGCUCAACCGUGGAGGGUCAUUGGAAACUGGGAGACUUGAGUGCAGAAGAGGAAAGUGGAAUUCCAUGUGUAGCGGUGAAAUGCGUAGAGAUAUGGAGGAACACCAGUGGCGAAGGCGACUUUCUGGUCUGUACUGACACUGAGGCGCGAAGCGUGGGAGCAACAGGAUAGA